rnacentral:rRNA from 1 species
GACGAACGCUGGCGGCGUGCCUAAUACAUGCAAGUAGAACGCUGAAGCUUGGUGCUUGCACCGAGCGGAUGAGUUGCGAACGGGUGAGUAACGCGUAGGUAACCUGCCUGGUAGCGGGGGAUAACUAUUGGAAACGAUAGCUAAUACCGCAUAAGAGUAGAUGUUGCAUGACAUUUGCUUAAAAGGUGCAAUUGCAUCACUACCAGAUGGACCUGCGUUGUAUUAGCUAGUUGGUGAGGUAACGGCUCACCAAGGCAACGAUACAUAGCCGACCUGAGAGGGUGAUCGGCCACACUGGGACUGAGACACGGCCCAGACUCCUACGGGAGGCAGCAGUAGGGAAUCUUCGGCAAUGGACGGAAGUCUGACCGAGCAACGCCGCGUGAGUGAAGAAGGUUUUCGGAUCGUAAAGCUCUGUUGUAAGAGAGGAACGAGUGUGAGAGUGGAAAGUUCACACUGUGACGGUAUCUUACCAGAAAGGGACGGCUAACUACGUG